rnacentral:rRNA from 1 species
UGGGGAAUAUUGCACAAUGGGCGCAAGCCUGAUGCAGCCAUGCCGCGUGUGUGAAGAAGGCCUUCGGGUUGUAAAGCACUUUCAGCGAGGAGGAAGGUGGUGAGCUUAAUACGCUCAUCAAUUGACGUUACUCGCAGAAGAAGCACCGGCUAACUCCGUGCCAGCAGCCGCGGUAAUACGGAGGGUGCAAGCGUUAAUCGGAAUUACUGGGCGUAAAGCGCACGCAGGCGGUUUGUUAAGUCAGAUGUGAAAUCCCCGGGCUCAACCUGGGAACUGCAUUUGAAACUGGCGAGCUAGAGUCUCGUAGAGGGGGGCUAGAAUUCCAGGUGUAGCGGUGAAAUGCGUAGAGAUCUGGAGGAAUACCGGUGGCGAAGGCGGCCCCCUGGACGAAGACUGACGCUCAGGUGCGAAAGCGUGGGGCAGCAAACAGGAUUAGAUACCCUGGUAGUCCACGCUGUAAACGAUGUCGAUUUUGGAGGUUGUGCCCCUUGAGGCGUGGCUUCCGGAGCUAACGCGUUAAAGUCGACCGCCU